rnacentral:rRNA from 1 species
UACGUAGGGUGCAAGCGUUAAUCGGAAUUACUGGGCGUAAAGCGUGCGCAGGCGGUGAUGUAAGACAGGUGUGAAAUCCCCGGGCUUAACCUGGGAACUGCAUUUGUGACUGCAUCGCUGGAGUGCGGCAGAGGGGGAUGGAAUUCCGCGUGUAGCAGUGAAAUGCGUAGAUAUGCGGAGGAACACCGAUGGCGAAGGCAAUCCCCUGGGCCUGCACUGACGCUCAUGCACGAAAGCGUGGGGAGCAA